ensembl:ncRNA C52B9.17 ncRNA
UAGACACCAACCGAUGAAAAAUUGCCGAAAAUUUCCAUUCUCCGUUCUUUUUUUUUUCCUUUUCGUAUUCGAGGGGACAUUUCUGGAUUCUUGGAUGGGAUAAUGGAUGAGCCAAUUUUAAAGUGUGGCUAAAGA